ensembl:lncRNA
UUUCACUGUAAGGUCUACUACACCUGUUGUAUUCAGCAUUUCCCUGUGAGGUCUACACCUGUUGUAUUCAGCAUUUCACUGUAAGGUCUACUACACCUGUUGUAUUCAGCAUUUCACUGUAAGGUCUACCUACACCUGUUGUAUUCAGCAUUUCCCUGUGAGGUCUACUACACCUGUUGUAUUCAGCAUUUCACUGUAAGGUCUACUACACCUGUUGUAUUCAGCAUUUCACUGUAAGGUCUACUACACCUGUUGUAUUCAGCAUUUCACUGUAAGGUCUACUACACCUGUUGUAUUCAGCAUUUCACUGUAAGGUCUACCUGCACCUGUUGUAUUCAGCAUUUCACUGUAAGGUCUACUACACCUGUUGUAUUCAGC